rnacentral:lncRNA from 1 species
UCAACCAAGUCUGAGGCUUUACCAUGAAAUUGAGAAGGCAAGUUUAUUGAAGUCAAACAAUUUUUAUACAUUUUCUAGAAAUAUUUGAUAAAAAGUGCAUAUUCAUCUUUUUUUUCUGCGUGAAAAACAUCUUUGAAGAAUGUAUUUACCAGUUUAAUAUUUUGAGAUACCAGUUACAUUAACAAGAAUUUCUAUCACAAUUACUGGAGUAAAUCCUGAGAUAGGGAUUAUAUCUCAAGGGGAGACUAGUUUUAUUAACAGCAAGAUUUGUUCAUUCAAUGGGAGACAACUCAUUUUCAUUAUUCAAAUUAGUUGAGUUCAGUUGAAAUUCAAAUCAUAAAACUUUGACAAUUUUUUUUUUUUUUCAAUCUUUAUAAAUUUUACAGAAUAUGUGGAUGUUAUACUAUUGGUACAUGAAGUAAGAAAUCAGAACAAUUUGUAAAGUAAUCUUUAGGUUGACAUAGAAAUUGGUUUGUAAAAUUAAUAAAUGUGUUAAUUUCUUUUUAGGUACUUUCUGUGGCAUGUUUUCAUGGUGUUGGAAUAAGACUUGGUGGUCAAAUACAGCUAAUAUGAAGGUAGGUACCAGUAAUAUUAAUCCUGUUUAAAAAAAAUAAUUCUAUAAAUAAUAUUAUUUGGAAAUAAAUACUGACUAGGGUUAAAGGUUUAUAAAAGUUUGGUCAACAGUAUACUCUUUAUUUUAUCAGUACCAUAUGACAAUGUUCACUUGGCAAAAUAUGGCCUUAUUAUAGAUUUUAAAUUUCAACUUUCAUCAUAGAAUUCCAAAAAGGCCCCAAUCUGGUUCUUAAAUGGAUAUAUCAAGAGACUUAUGGCGACAUAAAAGAAAAAGCUUCUUUAUAAUACACUGUAGACUCCAUAAUUAGCUAAAUUGGGAGAUAUUAUCAAAAUGCGAUGUUCUUACCUAAAAGCUUAAAGAAUACCUUUGAUCCAAAAUGUUAAGUAACCUAUAGGUGCCAAGGGUAAUAUUUAAAUUACAAGACAUACACUAUUACUGGAUCAGGGAAAGUGAAUUAUGCUGAAAACUGUUCUAAAUUGUGAAAAAUUGGACCUUUAUUGGCGCUUUUGCGAAAAACACCAGAAUUGCAUAAUCAAGAGGUCAUAACUUUGUAGUUUAUAUUGUUAAAUGCCAAAAAAAGAAGUGGUUAUUUUGUAUCAAAAAUGAUACCACAACAAUUUAUAUGUAGCAUUUGGACCUGAAUUAAAAAAGAUUAAAAUCUUAUGGCCAACUUUAGCCCUUUUAAACCUACCGCUUUUAAGGAUUGAAUUGGGUUGUUGGAUUGAUGUCUUAUCAAUGUUCUCAAAACCUGUCACAUGUAUAUAACCCAUUUUAUAUAAAGUAGAUACGGUAUUCCAGAAGUGAUCCUUUAAAACAAUUUUGAUUGACUAAGCAUUUUAUAUUUCAGGUUAGCACCACAGCUUGUCUGUAGGGAUUGAAGCUGGGAAAGGGCCAUUGGAGCUGAAUUUUAUGGUAAGAACUAAAAAAAAGAUUGAACUAUUCAUCUAAGAGUAUGUAA